GACCUUGUAUUCAAAGUAAUGAUUUUAAAUUGCAAGUUUAAAGGUGGUUUAACCAAGGUUU
rnacentral:tRNA from 1 species